rnacentral:rRNA from 1 species
UGGCGAACGGGUGAGUAACACGUGAGUAACCUGCCCUUGACUCUGGGAUAAGCCUGGGAAACUGGGUCUAAUACCGGAUAUGACCGUCUGACGCAUGUCAGGUGGUGGAAAGCUUUUGUGGUUUUGGAUGGACUCGCGGCCUAUCAGCUUGUUGGUGGGGUAAUGGCCUACCAAGGCGACGACGGGUAGCCGGCCUGAGAGGGUGACCGGCCACACUGGGACUGAGACACGGCCCAGACUCCUACGGGAGGCAGCAGUGGGGAAUAUUGCACAAUGGGCGCAAGCCUGAUGCAGCGACGCCGCGUGAGGGAUGACGGCCUUCGGGUUGUAAACCUCUUUCAGUAGGGAAGAAGCGAAAGUGACGGUACCUGCAGAAGAAGCGCCGGCUAACUACGUGCCAGCAGCCGCGGUAAUACGUAGGGCGCAAGCGUUAUCCGGAAUUAUUGGGCGUAAAGAGCUCGUAGGCGGUUUGUCGCGUCUGCUGUGAAAGACCGGGGCUCAACUCCGGUUCUGCAGUGGGUACGGGCAGACUAGAGUGAUGUAGGGGAGACUGGAAUUCCUGGUGUAGCGGUGAAAUGCGCAGAUAUCAGGAGGAACACCGAUGGCGAAGGCAGGUCUCUGGGCAUUAACUGACGCUGAGGAGCGAAAGCAUGGGGAGCGAACAGGAUUAGAUACCCUGGUAGUCCAUGCCGUAAACGUUGGGCACUANGUGUGGGGGACAUUCCACGUUUUCCGCGCCGUANCUAACGCAUUAAGUGCCCCGCCUGGGGAGUA